UUAGACUUUUUCUUUUCGCAUGAAGAGUAAUAAUUACUCUCAUCAAUAUAUUCUGGCUUUGCUGUUGAAAAUUAUAUUUAAUUUUGUUGUUGUCUGCAGUAUUUCCUUAGGACUAAAUCAGUUUCAGUAUAGUAGUGUACCCUGGUUAUACAGUUUAGUGUUGUGAUGGGCAGUUCCUAACAGAUCCCCAUAUACUAGAUGUUUUGGUGCUUGGAUAUUUUGGAGCAUGUAUUUGGAGUUUAUACCUCUACGUAUAUGCUAAGGUAAUGCUGAGGCAUUAUAACUACUGAAAGCUUCCCAGCUGUUCUAUACAGGAGUCUGUAGGAGAGCACUAUGCUCCAUGUGUGAACCUGUAGCAGUAAGGGUGUUUGAGGUCCACGUGCCAUCCCUGAAUGCUUGUUGUAAGUUAAAAUGCAAGGCCAGAGCCACAGUGUGUAGUAGUGUAGCAGUGAGUGCUGUAGUCCCUACUUUUCCCCUGUUGAAAACAGCAUACUAGAAGAUGCUGCGGCCUUGCUUCAUCAUUCAGGUGAUCCUUGAAUUUAGUAGCGUGUCAUAAGUGUAAUUGACUACUCGGAGUGCUUCUUAAGAUCAAUGUGGCAAAAGCAGAUGUGGCUCUGAUGGCAAUAGGGGUGGUGAGUUGUCCCCCUGUCUCCUGCCCUCACCAUAUUUAGUUAUAGGGUCACAUAGUUGACUCUUUCACAAGAUGAGUCACAUAAUGACAUUUCAAAGGAAAGAGUGGAAAAAUGACAGCUGUAUAUGACCUUAGCUACUAUACACUGUGUUACAGCUCUUUUGCAAUUCUUAAAAUAACCAAAGAGAGGUAGCAGUGGCAAUGCCAGGAAUUACAUACCCUUGGUUUUCUCAUCUAUGUGAAAUCUAGUCAUAGAGCUCAUAGGCUGUGACUCACCCACAGAUUCACAUCCUCUGUGCAGACAAGGCACAAAAGUUCUGAAGUUUUUCUUCAAAAAGAAAGAUUACAGAAUGUUUAUGAAAUUGAAGGUUGCUGAAUUGUUAGUGUAUUGCCCAUGUUGAAUACACCUUUGUAAAUGGAAUAGAUGAAGGCAGGACUUCACUGCUGUGUCAGCCAGUCAUGUACAAAUGCUAUUUAUAAAAGGAUUCAGUGAAAUCACAUGGUAUGAUCUUGAGUACAACCUGGCCUGUUGUACUGACCAAAAUGUCAUCUAUUUCAUGAUGCUUCCAGCUGGGAGAAUUAUUGCACUGAUGCCAGGGAGGGGAAAAGACCACAGCAGUCUGUUCUCUUCCCUGUGACCUGGUAGAGUGUGCAUGUGCCUGGUUUAGCCAAUCUGUAAAUGCACAGUUGGAAAAACCACUGGAAGUUUAAGUUUCACUGCACCUGUACAGAUAGUUAAGCAGCACUUGACCUGCCAAAUGAACUAGCAGGUGAAAAAAUGAGUUUGCUGCUAAUGACUACACAGUUUAUGCAUCUAGCUAUAUACAGGAAGAGGACAGUCAGCAGAGGAUGUCACUGCAGCAUCACACUGUAAGAACCUCUCCCAGUUGCCCCCAAAGCACAGUCGCUGUAAUGUUGCUUCUAAUUACUCUCUAUUACUACAGUAUAAGGGUGAAUAUUCAUCUCUGUAUAUUCUCAUGGAGUGUAUACUUGACCCUCCACUUAGAUGCCCUUCUGGAACUGUUAUCUUUCUUCUUUUCUUUCAGCUGACCAAAUUGUCUAGAUGGAAUUCUGUUCUGUUUUUGCAUCCUAUCACUAAAAAAUUUGUUUCCCUCAUCUCAUACAUUCCUGAAUCACACACACCUCUAUGGCUUACUGCUUUGAUCAGGCAUCCCGAUGCCGUUUGUUCAAACAGUCCAUCUUCAUGGCAUAUUGACUUUCAUUCAGAGCGCAGUGCAUUAUAAGCUGCAUAUCUCUUCCUGGUACGUAAUUAUUUUGUUCCUAUUUUUGUAUAUCUGAAGUUGACUAUUCCUGCACAAGCAUACUACAUUGCAUAUAUCUGUACAGAAGCCUGUCCUGUUUUUCCAAUUUGCCAAGAUCAUUUGAAUUUGAAUCAGAAGUGCUUCCAUGGCAUUUGCAGUCUGUAUCCAUUCUAUGUAAUCCACAAGUUUAAAAAGUGUAGACAUUGUUCAAGUUAUUUGUAAAGGACUGAAUAAAGUACAAACUCCCAUGGAAUUCUAUCAUACCCAUGCUCUUUGGGUGUCAUUACCCAGCUAGUUUUGUGUCCACUUUAUAAUAUAUUCUUCCUGGCCUGAUUUGCUGUUUUCUCAGAAAUGGUUUAUGAGACUGUCAAAAACCUCAUCAGUUAAAAUACAUCUCACCUAUUGCUUAUGCUCUGUAAUAGGAGGCAAUUUUAUUAGUUUGGCAUGAUUUGUCUUUUAACAACAAAUCAGUGCUGAUUUGAUCUGAUACUGAUUUCACUGUUGUCUUAAUUUUUUUUAUUGUUCUAGGCUACUUUCACACAUCAGUAAUGCCCUAAAUAUGUUUUUUCUACUUUGAAUCUUCCAGUCUCACCAGUCUGCUAAUCUUCAAAGAUGUUUAAAUGAUGUUUUAAGUGGACUGUAUGCUCCCAGAACUCCUCUCCUGAAGCAGACACUGUUGGGGAGGAAAUUCUUUGGUUCAAAGCAGAACACUGGAAGAAAAAUAAGAAGAAAGAAAAAAAGACUGUUAAAUACAAUGGAGUGAAAUUUGGGAAGAAAUGUUCAGACUGUAAUGGAAAGUAUGACACAAUAGUUGGAAAUGUAAAUAUCACUGGAUCUGGGAUUGAUACUGUGUUAGGGACUGAACUGGUGAGUUAAAUGGAGCUGAUACCUGAAAUACUGGCAAAAUGUUUUGCAGACAUGAUCCUGGAUAUUUAUUUGGAGAGAAGAAGCAGAUGUUAACUGUAGGACUGGUUAGAGGUAUUCAGAUGAGCUACUUAUUUCCACAAGAAAAUUUUAACAUUUUAAGAACUAAAUGAUUUAUGUAAACAUUGUCAGUGAAUCUCCUAAUUUUUGUUUGUUGUUUUGGUUUU